AGCGAACGCUGGCGGCAGGCCUAACACAUGCAAGUCGAACGAACCUUUCGGGGUUAGUGGCGGACGGGUGAGUAACACGUGGGAACGUGCCUUUAGGUUCGGAAUAACUCAGGGAAACUUGUGCUAAUACCGAAUGUGCCCUUCGGGGGAAAGAUUUAUCGCCUUUAGAGCGGCCCGCGUCUGAUUAGCUAGUUGGUUGAGGUAAUGGCUCACCAAGGCGACGAUCAGUGGCUGGUCUGAGAGGAUGAUCAGCCACAUUGGGACUGAGACACGGCCCAAACUCCUACGGGAGGCAGCAGUGGGGAAUCUUGCGCAAUGGGCGAAAGCCUGACGCAGCCAUGCCGCGUGAAUGAUGAAGGUCUUAGGAUUGUAAAAUUCUUUCACCGGGGACGAUAAUGACGGUACCCGGAGAAGAAGCCCCGGCUAACUUCGUG
rnacentral:rRNA from 1 species